UACGUAGGGGGCAAGCGUUGUCCGGAAUUAUUGGGCGUAAAGAGCGCGUAGGCGGUCCGGUAAGUCGGUUGUGAAAGUCGGGGGCUCAACCCUCGGAUGCCGAUCGAUACUGUCGGGCUAGAGUCCGGAAGAGGCGAGUGGAAUUCCCGGUGUAGCAGUGAAAUGCGUAGAGAUCGGGAGGAACAUCAGUUGCGAAGGCGGCUCUCUGGACCAGUACUGACGCUGAGGCACGAAAGCGUGGGGAGCAAACAGG
rnacentral:rRNA from 1 species